rnacentral:lncRNA from 1 species
CAAGAUAUAGCUAAACACAGAUAAAGCAUCUCACUUACACCGAGAAGGUACCCGUGCAAACCGGGUUGUCUUGAUUCAACAUAACUGGGCCAAACUAUUGGCCCCUCACAACAGACCCCCAAGACACAGCUAAAGUAAAAAUAGCCCCCCUCCCAGGGAAUCGUGCCCGUGAAAAUCGGGCUAUCUUGGAAUAUAAUUUGCAACAAAACAACAAGACACCCCCAACAACUUUCCCUCCAUAAGCACUAACCUGGCAGUACCCCACAACAAACUCACACCCACACCCCAAGGCAUAGCUAAACACAGAUAAAGCAUCCCCCCAAGGAAGGUGCCCGUGCAAACCGGGCUGUCUUGAAACCCCAGAACAUUGCCAACCAUUAAAUGGCGGAACUGAAACCACCACAUGCCUGUGCAAAACAGGAUGUUCUAAUGUCCAACAGCUAGCCCGUCCCCCAAAGAUCAACUCUCCCCUCUUAACUACCCCCAAAUGUACCCACCAUCAUAAAACAAAUCAUUUUUCCUUCUCAGUAUAGGAGAUAGAAAAGAAAAUAGGAGCAAUAACUAAAGUACCGCAAGGGAAAGCUGAAAGAAAAAUGAAACAGCCCAGCAAACUACUAACAGCAGAGCUUCUCCCUCGUACCUUUUGCAUCAUGAAUUAGCUAGUAACACUUAAGCAAAAUCUAUUUUAGUUUAAAUCCCCGAAACUAAGUGAGCUACUUCAAGACAGCCUAUAAAUCUAGGGCCAACCCGUCUCUGUGGCAAAAGAGUGGGAAGAGCUUCGAGUAGCGGUGACAGACCUACCGAACUUAGUUAUAGCUGGUUGCCGGAGAAGUGGAUAGAAGUUCAGCCUUUUGGAUUCUCCUUUCAACUAGACCCUAAUCUUCUCCCUGUUACAAAAGAAACCAAAAGAGUUAGUCAAGGGGGGUACAGCCCCUUUGAACCAAGACACAACUUUGAAAUGAAGGAUAAAGAUCAUAGUCAUUAAGGCCCGAGAGUUGAGGUAGGCUUGAAAGCAGCCACCCCCUAGAAAAGCGUUAUAGCUUAGGCACUGCGCCCUCACACCCUAAAAUUCCGAUAACCCAAUCUUAAUCCCCUUAUUCUAUCCGGCCGCUUCAUGCACUCAUGGAAGCGAUCCUGCUAGUAUCAGUAAUAAGAGGACCUAGAACCUCUCCCAGCACAUGUGUACCUCGGCUCGAACCCCCACCGAUAUUUAACGACCCCAAAAGAAGAGGGAACUAGACAGUCUAUAAAAACCCAGAAAACUCUCCAAUAGAAAACCGUUAACCCCACACUGGUGUGCUAAAAAGGAAAGACUAAAAGGAAGAGAAGGAACUCGGCAAACACCCUAUUGGCCUCGCCUGUUUACCAAAAACAUCGCCUCUUGCAAACUUGAACGAAUAAGAGGUCCCGCCUGCCCAGUGACAAUACGUUCAACGGCCGCGGUAUUAUGACCGUGCAAAGGUAGCGCAAUCACUUGUCUUUUAAAUGGGGACCCGUAUGAAUGGCAUAACGAGGGCUAAACUGUCUCCUCUUCCCAGUCAAUGAAAUUGAUCCCCCCGUGCAGAAGCGGGGAUACCCACAUAAGACGAGAAGACCCUAUGGAGCUUUAGACACAAAGACAGACUAUGUUAAACACCUUCGAACAAGAAAAAAAACUAAAUAUCCCCUGCUCUUAUGUCUUUGGUUGGGGCGACCUCGGGGAAACAACAAACCCCCAAGCGGAACAGAGGCACUGUCCUCCCAAACUGAGAGCUCCUGCUCUAAGAAAUAAAACUUUUAACCUUACAGACCCGGCAAAGCCGAUCAACGAACCGAGUUACCCUAGGGAUAACAGCGCAAUCCCCUUCCAGAGCCCCUAUCGCCAAGGGGGUUUACGACCUCGAUGUUGGAUCAGGAUAUCCUAAUGGCGCAGCCGUUAUUAAGGGUUCGUUUGUUCAACGAUUAAAGUCCUACGUGAUCUGAGUUCAGACCGGAGUAAUCCAGGUCAGUUUCUAUCUAUGAAGUGAUCUCUCCUAGUACGAAAGGACCGGAAAGAAGAGGCCCCUGCUCCCCGCACGCCUCCCCCUCACCCGAUGCAGGCAACUAAAUCAGGCAAGAGGACACGGCCCCCAAGCCCUAGAGCUGGGCGAAAUUGGAGUGGCAGAGCCCGGAUGAUGCGGAAGGUCUAAGCCCUUUACACAGAGGUUCAAAUCCUCCCUCCAAUUAUGGCAUUCCUCCUCACCCACCUUGCCAAUCCCCUAGCGUACAUUGUACCCGUUUUACUAGCAGUAGCUUUCUUAACACUGAUUGAACGAAAAGUUUUAGGAUACAUACAACUCCGGAAGGGCCCAAAUAUUGUAGGACCCUACGGACUAUUGCAACCCAUUGCUGACGGCGUUAAGCUGUUUCUCAAGGAACCCGUGCGACCCUCAACCUCUUCUCCUGUAUUAUUUUUAUUCGCCCCUAUGCUAGCCCUCACCCUUGCCCUCCUAAUAUGGGCACCUAUGCCUCUCCCACAUCCAAUUUUGGAUCUAAACCUAAGCAUUCUAUUUAUCCUCGCCCUUUCAAGCCUGGCAGUAUACUCCAUCCUUGGCUCGGGAUGAGCAUCAAAUUCAAAAUACGCCCUCAUUGGAGCCCUCCGAGCCGUUGCCCAAACCAUUUCCUACGAAGUUAGUCUUGGGCUUAUCCUACUAAGCAUUAUCAUUUUUUCAGGCGGGUUCACCCUGCAAACCUUUAGCACGACCCAAGAAAGUGUCUGACUCCUCCUCCCAGCAUGGCCACUAGCGGCAAUAUGAUAUAUUUCAACCCUUGCCGAAACCAACCGGGCCCCCUUUGACCUAACGGAGGGGGAAUCCGAACUAGUCUCAGGAUUCAACGUAGAGUAUGCCGGAGGACCCUUCGCACUAUUCUUCCUGGCGGAGUACGCCAACAUCUUACUAAUGAACACUCUAUCUGCUAUUUUAUUCUGAGGCGCAAUGUACACCCCCAUCUUCCCCGAGCUUACCUCACUUAACAUAAUAACAAAAGCCUCGCUCCUCGCGGUCCUGUUCUUGUGAGUGCGAGCCUCCUACCCCCGGUUCCGAUACGAUCAACUCAUGCACCUCAUUUGGAAAAACUUCCUACCUACAACACUUGCCCUGAUUAUCUGACACCUCUCCCUCCCCACAGCAUUCGCCGGGAUCCCACCACAAUCCUAGCACUGGAGCUGUGCCUGAAGUUUAAAGGGUCACUUUGAUAGAGUGAAUAAUGAAGGUUAAAGUCCUUCCACCUCCUUAGAAAGAGGGGACUUGAACCCCACCCGAAGAGAUCAAAACUCUUAGUGCUUCCUCUACACCACCUUCUAGAAA